UCCUCAAAAAUUAGACUUCAAAUGAAAAAAAUAAUGAAUUCUUUUUUCUAUCCUCGUUUUUGUGAUAAAACAAAGUUAAGCCCCUAGGUUUGGCUUUAGACCCUAACAGAUUUGAGCCGCUCCUGAUGGGCUAUUAAGCAUGGAAGAGAAAAAUAUGCUAAAGUGGAAGUGUACAGAGUUGCUUUGGCUUGUUGCAUAUGCCACAUAUGGAUCGAGAGAAAUCGGAGGAUUUUCUACGAGGCUAACACUGGUGAAAGAGUAUUAAGGUUGAUUGCUCAAAAAAUUCAUGCCAAGGGUGAAGGACAGGCCAGGAUUUCUGGCCAACUUAGUAGACUGAAUUACUAUCCUUAAUCCUGCUUAGAUUAAGCUUGUUCUGGAUCUGUUGCAGCUAGUAGUUAGACAUGUAUCCACAUAGUUUCUUUGAUUCAGUAGAGGAUGAGAAAUAGGUGGGUUGUUUUAGCCAGUUUGGGUGGGGCUUGUAAAAUUUAUCGUAAAUAUUCCUUGGUAAUACAAAUGUUUAGUUACCCAAAAAAAAUAAAAAAAAAAUAAAAAAAAAAUAUAUAUAUAUAUACAUGUAUCAUGGACAACUUAUUUCUAUUAUAUAUAAACGGGAAGGGAGUACGAACACAGCAACAAAUGAUUGAAUUAAAAGCAACAUAAGUUAUACCACAAACUUGGGCCUAUAUUUGGCUUCUCCUUUAACCACGUGUGCCUUUCAAUUGUCCUAUUUUGGCUUACACGUGGUUACCUCUUUAUUUAUCUAGAACAUCUGGAUUCUAAUCACUUUCAUUUCCCUUGCUUUUUGAAUUUGUGCUAUUCCUAAUCAAGUGUUCCUAUGCCCACUCUCAGCAGCUACUGAGCCUUUUUGUUUUCUUUAUUUGAGAGUCUCUAUUCUUUUCAUUCCUAUGGAAUUUGGGGCUAACUCUUGAGAGAGGUAUGUUAAGGAGUUCUCUUUGUUAAACAUGCUCAAAUGCAGCUAUAUGUGCAAAAAUAGACAAUGAUGGACAAGUCACAGAUAAAAUCUGCAACCAUCUAUUACAGUUCCAUUUCUUAAUUUUAAAUUGUCCAAUCUAAGACCUCUAAUAUUCUUAUCUUGUUAUGCAGUUGCAAGUAUGCCACCACCGGAACAAAUGAUGUGCGGCGUCAUUUGGGGAGUAGUGAUAUAUAUAAGGAAGGUAAAGAUUUCACAGCAGAAGGUUAGAAUAUCAUAUGAUGGGAACAACUUUUGAAGGUGGUUAUUAUUGAAGGCAUUUGAAAGACCACAUAUAUGCAUGUUGUAGCACAUACUGUUGUAUGCGCGAAGUAUUUAUGGUUCCUGGUCACUGUAUUACUAGUUUGAUGAAGAACAAUAUGGUACUAGAUUGCAGAGGAAUAUUGUGGCAGAGAACUGUCUUUCUACCAAGUUAAAGCAUGGGGCCAAGAGUGUCGAUGUUGCACAUCAAAAUGCCUCCUCAAGGAAAAUCAAGUUUGCCAAGUCUAGCCAUUGUUUGAAAGACUAAAAUUAGUAGGUCAUUUGGUUUUGUAAAAUUCUCAACAAAUAGGUGAUAAGAAGACGGUACAAGAUCCGUGUGUAUUGUUAUGACAAUCUCAUCUUUAGAAUUGAAUGCA